rnacentral:rRNA from 1 species
CACGCCGUAAACGAUGUCUACUAGCCGUUGGGAGACUUGAUUUCUUAGUGGCGCAGCUAACGCAAUAAGUAGACCGCCUGGGGAGUACGGCCGCAAGGUUAAAACUCAAAUGAAUUGACG